GUGUGUAUUUUACACCUCAAAUGGAACUGUUUUGAGGACUCAACAGUCGUACGUUGCCAGUGGCUACUGCAUCAGCAUGUGCCGUGCUAGGUGGGGAGGUGGAAGAGAAAUCAAAUGGAUUCCACCUCAAAUGGUGAAUUGGUAAGAAGCAAAGUAAAUGAGGGAUCCCUUCCUUUCAAAGUAAAGACUGAGAAGAUGGCAUUUGCCGAAGUACUCUCAUCAUUUAGCGCUGUCCAAGGGAACCCAGAGGCAGCUCCGUGGGGACAGGUCUGCGGGGGCAGCUCCGAGGUAUGCAGCCUGGGAUGGAACUCGGGCCCUGCAGAGGCCAGGCAAGCUGAGCUGCCGAGCUACAUCCGGCCCUGCGUCUUAUCCUUACUACUGCUAACGAUGAGGCUCGCAAACGACUUCCGUCUCCAGAGGCUCCGUCCCGAAAAGCAGGUGCUGUGCUGCUGAGCUACAUGCCAGCCCCAGGGUUGGAGUAUUGAUUACCGCAGCCACAGGGACGGAGUGACGGGCAGCCAGCAUGGAAAAGAAGGUGCUAAGUCACCCAGGCUGGGCUUGAGCUUGCAUCCUCCCGCUUCAGCCUCGCAGAGUGUUGGGAAGACAGGCAGGUGCUGCCGUGCCCAGCAGGAUUUAGCUUGUAGCUGAGAGAAUUUGAAAAUGAGAUAUCGCGUAGUUUUGUCUUUAUUUGAAGAGAGGGAAGUGCAGCCUGAGGAGGAGGGGAGGAGGCAGCUUCCGGACGAGGCGGAGGGCUGCGGGGUGCGGAGAGCCGGUGGACUGUACAGAUUUAGGAGGUUGGGUGAGCAGGUCAGGAGAUGAGGUGAGCAGGUCAGGAGCAGGUCUGCAUCAGGAGACACGGAGGCGGGGGAGGCCCUGCAGAGGGUGACCAUCGCCAGGCCCGUCACUGCUCAGCCCCCCAGCAGCAGACUGCCGUUCUGAGAACAGAAGGCCAGGCAGGUUUCAGCAAGGCCGAGACACCUUUAAGAAGACCCAAUCCUGCCAGCGCGGUGGAGCACGCCUGUCAGCCCUGCACUUGGGAGGCUGAGGCAGGAGGAUCACAAGUUCAAGCCUAGCCCGGGCAACUCUGACUUGGCGAGAUCCUGCCUGAAAAUGAAAAGGACGGGGAUGUAGCUCCGUGUGAAGGCCCUGGGUUCCACCCCCAGUACCACAAAAACAAGAAGGCUCAGGACCUUUGGGUGCCCAAGCUCACCAGCACAAGGGCUGAGUAGCUUUUCACGCCGUGAGCUCUGUCCUGCUGUCUCAGCAUGUUCCGGGUGAAGUCCUUGGGCUUUCACAGCACUCGUCUGGGUUUUUCACUGAGAAGUCGGGGUUCCUAGCCUGGAUCCCCCACACUCUGCUUCCUGGCUGCCAUGGGGUAAGCGGCUCUGCCCGCCGGGCCCUCCCACUGUGGUGUCUGCCUUGGAGACGGCCAGCCAUGGACUGAACCCUCGGAAAGCCGCGGGCCUCCUUAAACCUCUCCUCCUUCAGCUGCAGAUGCAGGACGUUUUGUCCCAGCGGCCAGGAAGUGCCUAAGAUGGAAAACAAGGGCCUCGUACACUUUAUAUAAAUGGAAUCUUGUAAUAUGUGGCGUCUUGCGAAGGGCUUCUUCCACUGA